rnacentral:rRNA from 1 species
GUGCAGCAGUCGAGAAACUUCACACUGUGCGAAAGCACGAUGAGGGAAUCCCAAGUGCUUGCACGUAAGUGUAAGCUGUUUCUCUGUCUAAAACGCAGAGAGAGUAAGGGCUGGGUAAGACGGGUGCCAGCCGCCGCGGUAAUACCUGCAGCUCAAGUGGUGACCGUUAUUAUUGGGCCUAAAACGUCCGUAGCCGGUUUAAUAAAUGCCUGGGUAAAUUGUGUAGCUUAACUAUACGAAUUCCGGGUAGACUGUUAAACUUGAGACCGGGAGAAGUUAGAGGUACUCCUGGGGUAGAGGUGAAAUUCUGUAAUCCUAGGGGGACCACCAGUGGCGAAGGCGUCUAACUAGAACGGGUCUGACGGCGAGGGACGAAGCCCUGGGGCGCAAACGGGGAUUAGAUACCCGGUAGU